UGUAGGACGACCAGGGGCAGAAGCUGUAAAUAUGCCCAUUAUUGAGGGCAAAAUCAUAAUUAUAUCUAGUAGAUAUUUAGCUGUCCUUUCUCCAAAAUAUUCUAGAAACAACUACAUGUCCUUCAACUCUCGAGAAUACUUGGAACACCGCUUUCACCGUCAUCGGCGGCGACACAAUAACAAUCGAAAAUGAUAUUUCGGAAGGUUUUCAGGCGCCGGUGUCUCCGCCAUUUGGACGAUUCAAGGUUGCAGCUCUUUCAUUAUUGGUUCAAUGCAUGAAAAAACUUGAAAGCUAGCUUUCACCACUGCACUAUCUCUUUGCGUCAACACUUAUGUUUUUGGAAAGCUGAAUCGGAGACAAACAACAAUAUGCACGAUGCUCGAUGGUUUAAAAAUGGUGUCAUAUGAACAAGGUUUGGUCUCCUCCACUCUAAUGAUAGCAUAGCUUGAUCAUAACCUUUUCUUCCAAUCCAUGCUCAAGAUGCUGUAUUCAAAGGCGCAUUUGAAGAAAACUUCAGUAAAAGUUGUCCAGGUACACAAUUCAAGACUUCUCAAGACGGACAGAUCUGGUGUCUUACCUUAGACCAAGUAUUAGAUUGUGGAUUCAUGACCAAGCAGAGCUAUAGAUUUGGUUGGUUUAGCACAAAGUUGAAAUUAGUAGGAGGUGACUCUGUUGUUGUUGUGACAACAUUUUAUAUAUGUUCAGAAGUAGAGGCAAGGCCAUUGAGAGAUGAGAUAGAUUUUGAGUUCUUGGGAAACAGAACAGGGCAGUCUUACCUUAUUCAAACAAAUGUGUACAAUGGUUGUGGUGGACGUGAGAUGAGGCAUCAACUAUGGUUUGACCCAAAUCCGUUAUCGAAUUUCUUAUGAAUCCGAAUCCGAACUCACAGUCUUCAACCCCGCCUACUUCUCCGUCUGCUCAAUCUGAUCCCGAUUCGACAACACAUCCUGGAGUUCUUCUAGAUCUUUCGUUCAAUGAUUCGGAGCUUAUUCUUAGCGCUUUGAUUAACGCUGUGGUUUUGGUCAUCUGAAGAUUACUGAAGCUGCCCUUGAUGCUGUGCAGAAGCUGCCCUUGAUGCUGUGCAGAAGCUCAUUGCUCAUGGUUAUCUUAGGGGUGAAGCGAGCCCACUUGGGCUCCAGAUGCGAAGCUUCUAUCGAAAUUGAUUGGGUCUGUUUGUAAAUGUCAUGAUUUGGGCGAUGAUGCGGUGGAAUUGCUUGUAAUUAAGUCUAUUUUAUCUGCUGUGACGUCGGUUUUGAUUCGAAUACAUGGGGAUUCUUUGUUGCAGGUUGUUAGGACGUGUUAUGAUAUUUGUUUGGAGAGUAAGAAUGUGGUGAAUCCGACGACGGCUAAGGCUUCAUUGGUACAAAUAUUGGUGAUUGUUUUUUGGAGAAUGGAGGCAGAUUCGUCCACGGUGCCAUUGCAGCCUAUUGUUGUCACGGAGUUAAUGGAACCAGCUGAAAAAGCUGAUGCUGAUGGAUAAAUGACAUUGUUUGUUCAGGGGUUUAUAACUAAAGUGUUGCAAGACAUUGAUAGAGUUUUCAAUGCAGGGACUCUGAGGGUUAGUGCUACACCUACUGGUGCUUGUGAUGAGGCAUUUUGAUAACUACAUCAACCGUGGAGUCGACGAAUCCUGCUGAUCUUUUGGAUUCCACGGAUAAAGAUAUGUUGGAUGUGAAGUAUUGGGGGAUUAGCAUGUAUAAGAUGACGUUGGAAGGGCAAAAAAGGAGAGCUGGUGGACGGGGAGGGAGAAAGGGAUGAUGAUUUGGAGGUUCAAAUUCGGAAUAACUUGAGAAGGGAUGCAUUGUUAGUGUUCAGGGCUUUAUGUAAGUUCUCAAUGAAGACCCCACCCAAGGAGGCCGCAGCAGAUCCACAGUUAAUGAGGCGCAAGAUUGUGGCGUUGGAGCUGCUUAAGAUAUUGUUGGAGAAUGCUGGAGCAAUAUUUAGGACAAGUGACAGGCAUUUACCUACCAUUCUGAUUUAAAUCUUUUUUAUACCUUAAUUACUUGUGUAAUUGCUCGUUUAUAUUCUAAUAAUUGUACCAUGGUUCUUAUUUCUGAGUAUUGUUUUUCUGUCAUUGGUUCAUUUUUUGUUGCAUAAAUGUGUCAAUGGCACACGUCUAUUUUUGCUACUUGAUCUAACUUAUAAAGUACUACUCUUUUUUAAAUCGGUAUUUACAAAGUACUGUUCUCAGUGCUCCAAAUGAAAAAAUGUUAUUUGUUGCUCUUAUAUGCUCUUAAGCUAAGGUAAUACCAAUCAAUAUACAAAGUCCAAAAAGUUGCUUACUCUAAUACAAUGAGUCCAAUUGCUUUCCAACUUCAUUUGUCCUUGAAAUGUUAUAUGCUUCCUUUUCCUAUUUCCCUACACCAUAUAUUUAGUUUACAUAUUCUUGGUAGCAUAGUUUUUAGACUAUUCCCGGGGAAUAAAAAGGAUUUGCAAAAUAUAAAUCAGUUGUCAACAUAUGAGCAUCUACGCCGUUUGUGCUGCUAAAAGUUUGAAAGUGACCUUUACUUGCUUGGACAACGGCUCCAAGUCUAUAUUGACUAAAAAUCAACUAAAAGAAAAGAAGAGAAAAUAGAUUUGUCGUAUCUUACCUUACGUUGGAGAGUGGAAGCUUACUGUCGUCACUCAGCUCAUGUUCGGUCAUGAUCAUGUGCUUCCACUUAGUUGGGGAAACAUAUAGGGUUGCGCAACACUAUGAUAUUUCUGACAAACAUUCACCUUUCUGUGAUUUGGAUAUCCUAAACUAUUUGAAGCUGUCAAACCUAAAGCUUAUACGGCCGAACAACUCUUUAGGCUUCCUUUGUUAAUGUGGAGAGAUCUUGAAUUUUACAUCCUUCAAUGCUUUCUUUGGGGGAAGAAUUACGUUUUUGUAAAUCAAGGAUGCACUCUUGAGGUCUAUUGGUAAUGCUAUGAGUAAUGUCAUGAGGAACGGAAACCUUCCGACUUUUUUUCAACGCCUGUUUUUUGGUACAAUAGUGAUGUAAUAAUGUCAACUAACUUGCCAUUGUUCUUUCUUCUUUUUUUCUUAAUGAAGUAUGGAAAUCUUGUUAGGAGGCAUCAAGAAGAUGCAAGGAAAAAAAUUACAGCAAAAGAAGAUGUCUAUUCCUAUACAAGAACUUACUGAAUAACUGAAGAGCAGACAUAAUCCCAAAAAAGUUCAACAAUAGUUACAGGGCCUGGUUGAACCAACUAUAUAAGUUGACCAAACAAUUGGAUUUAAGAAUGUGGUUAGGAGUUCAAAUCCCAGCAAAACAUCUGAAUGGGUCUCCCAACUCUCAAUGAACUCCAAGUUCUCAUAGGCUUCUUUAAUAGUAUUUGGCAUGACCCCAACAAGUUCAAAAACUAAUAAAAACAUACUCCAUAUGUCAGCUACUAUAGCACAAUGCAAGAAUAGAUGCCUCAACACUCUCCAACUCCACCUAUGGCACAUAUAACUUCUAUUUACAAUCUGAAUAUUUCUUUUCCAGAGAUUGUGUUGGGUAAGACAUGCUUCAUACAAGGUAGCCAAGAUAAAACUAACUAUGUUUGGGGGUAGUUUAGUAUCAACAAUCUUAAAUACCUUAUGAUUCUUGCUGAAGCAGGUGAAGGCAAAGCUGUUACAGGAGCAAGCGUUCAGAGAAGAAGGCAUUACCAGUGAAAUAUACUUUUUAACUUAAGGUACGAGAGUAAAGAUGCCACAAUCAUGGGAAAAAGAUCAGUCAAUGAUGAAUGUACAACAACCACUACAAUGUACUCAGUAUAAUUCUACAAAGUGGGUCUAGGGAAGGUAAACUCAGUAUAAUUCCACAAAGUGGGUCUAGGGAAGGACCCAGAGGAUGAU